GAGAAGAAGAAGAAAGUUAUUACUCGUUGGAUUCUGGGAAAGUGAUUGGUUGUGCUUAAAGGAUUACUCCGGUCCUCAGCUGCAGCCUUCAUUCCCUCCAGUAUAGCCUGUCGCUGAACGAUAAAGAGAUCGGUGCCAGUCACAUGAUCCAACUUUAAAAAACUAAUGAAAGAACAGAUGAACUUAUACUCAUAAAACAUAUAGCUUGCAUAAGGAGACUUCAGGAGUUACCAUCUCUAGACUCAUAUGAGCAAGAAAUCCGAAGUUCCUCAGUCUAGAUGAUGCUGCAGGAACCCGGCUAGAAAUGUGACUCCUACAUUGUCUCAUUUCACGGGAGUAGAAAGCUUGAAGAAUGUGUUUGGAGCUGUCUGAGUGAAUAAGUUAUUGAAGAACUUUUCUACUUGGAAAGUACAACAAGUUAUCACUAAAGGAACAACUUCCUACAGUAUUAAAAAAGUUUUUGGAACUUCUACAAUGGAUAUCUAAAAGCAUUGAAAUAAUACCAAGAAGAUAGCGUAAUAAAUUUCUUUGCACUAACAUAAGUCAUCCUAAACUAACUAAAUUAGUAUAUAUGCUUUAGAAAGAAAACUUUCAUCGGGUGAAGAAUCGUCAAUUUCAAAAACUAACUAGGCAUGAUUUGAUUAUUCUAGAUUUUAGAUGAUGUUGAACUAAAAGAUUCCCCAAAAGAACCAAGAAAGACAAUUUCUGGUUCUCCAUAAACAUUUCUAGAGCAAGCACCAUGAUUCUUUGAGUUGAAAAUUAUUUCAAUUAUAUUCAAGUCAAAAUCAAAAUUAGACAAUUGAAUCUAUUCAAAUCACCCAAUUCCCAAUCGACUGGCUCAAAAAGAAAGCAGGUUUUACGAAACAGGUUUGAGAAUUUCUAAAAGAAGAGAAAGAAAAAUGGGGUAAAGGUGGGUUCCCUUUCUUCCCAAGAAAACCUUUCUUCACCUGCCCCUUGUUUCAUUGUGGAAAAUGAAAGAACGCAAACUAAUCUCUUCUUUCUGACGAUGAAGGAAGAUGGAACCAAAGUUAAAAAUAUUCGUUGAAGCGGGAACGUUUUAUAAAGGCUAUUUGGAGGGCCCUGUGUGGGUUGGGUCCGAAGAAAAAGAAGAGAGAGAAAGACUCGGGCUGGGCUAUUUUCCGGCCUGGUUUGGUUCAUUUCUGGGCCUGACCGGGGAAGAGCAAAACUAAAACAAAAGAAAGAAAAGGGAUGGGGCUAAUUGUGUUUUCAGGUUUUGGCUAAUUUAGUUUUUAGAAUUUGGAAUAAUUUGGGUUUGAACAAAACUAAAAUAUAGAUCUAUAGAACAGUAGAAUAUUUAUUUAUCUAAUUAUAAUUGUAUAGUAUAAUUAUAUAUGCAUGUAUAUAUAUAUAUAUAUAUUGAAAGUUUUCUCAAAAAAUUUUAGGAAGGUUGAAGAGGCUAUCUUAGUUAAGGAAAGGAAAAGAGUAACCUAGGUUUGAGACACUUGUGCGAGCUGAGAUGGAGAAGGUUAGGUUCUGAUUAAAAAGAAGAGAUGAGGGUUUGUUUCUAGCUUCCAUAGAGGGAGGAAAUGAAGAUUAAGAAGGGAAUUCGAUGAGUAACAAUUCCAAAGACAAUUAGUGAAGAAGGAAAUUGAAUGAAAGAUUGCCCAAAAAAUAGGAUGUUGCAUUGUUUGUAGGGGCACAUGAUGUUGUUAGAGGCAGGACUCCUUCAAGCAGAAGUUUGACACUCUUAACCAAUCCGAUGAUAGUUCAGGAAAA